rnacentral:rRNA from 1 species
AUUGAACGCUGGCGGCAUGCCUUACACAUGCAAGUCGAACGGCAGCACGGGAGCAAUCCUGGUGGCGAGUGGCGAACGGGUGAGUAAUGUAUCGGAAUGUACCUUUCAGUGGGGGAUAACGUAGCGAAAGUUACGCUAAUACCGCAUAUUCUGUGAGCAGGAAAGCAGGGGAUCGCAAGACCUUGCGCUGAUUGAGCGGCCGAUAUCAGAUUAGCUAGUUGGUGAGGUAAAGGCUCACCAAGGCGACGAUCUGUAGCGGGUCUGAGAGGAUGAUCCGCCACACUGGAACUGAGACACGGUCCAGACUCCUACGGGAGGCAGCAGUGGGGAAUUUUGGACAAUGGGCGCAAGCCUGAUCCAGCCAUGCCGCGUGAGUGAAGAAGGCCUCGG